rnacentral:rRNA from 1 species
UACGUAGGGUGCGAGCGUUAAUCGGAAUUACUGGGCGUAAAGCGUGCGCAGGCGGUGAUGUAAGACAGGUGUGAAAUCCCCGGGCUUAACCUGGGAACUGCAUUUGUGACUGCAUCGCUGGAGUGCGGCAGAGGGGGAUGGAAUUCCGCGUGUAGCAGUGAAAUGCGUAGAUAUGCGGAGGAACACCGAUGGCGAAGGCAAUCCCUUGGGCCUGCACUGACGCUCAUGCACGAAAGCGUGGGGAGCAAACAGG